rnacentral:rRNA from 1 species
AUUGAACGCUGGCGGCAUGCCUUACACAUGCAAGUCGAACGGUAACAGGUCUUCGGACGCUGACGAGUGGCGAACGGGUGAGUAAUGCAUCGGAACGUGCCCAGUCGUGGGGGAUAACUGCUCGAAAGAGCAGCUAAUACCGCAUACGACCUGAGGGUGAAAGCGGGGGACCGUAAGGCCUCGCGCGAUUGGAGCGGCCGAUGUCAGAUUAGCUAGUUGGUGGGGUAAAGGCCUACCAAGGCAACGAUCUGUAGUUGGUCUGAGAGGACGACCAGCCACACUGGGACUGAGACACGGCCCAGACUCCUACGGGAGGCAGCAGUGGGGAAUUUUGGACAAAGGGCGCAAGCCUGAUCCAGCAAUGCCGCGUGCAGGAAGAAGGCCUUCGGGUUGUAAACUGCUUUUGUCAGGGAAGAAAUCUUCUGGGCUAAUACCCCGGGAGGAUGACGGUACCUGAAGAAUAAGCACCGGCUAACUACGUG